rnacentral:tRNA from 1 species
AGCAGGGUAGUGGAGAGGUGCCACGCUAGCUUCAUGCGCUAGAGACCCGGGUUCGAGUCCCGGCCCUGCAACCA